rnacentral:rRNA from 1 species
ACGAACGCUGGCGGCGUGGAUAAGACAUGCAAGUCGAACGGGAGAAUUGCUAGCUUGCUAAUAAUUCUCUAGUGGCGCACGGGUGAGUAACACGUGAGUAACCUGCCUCUUAGUGGGGGAUAGCCCUGGGAAACCGGGAUUAAUACCGCAUACGAUUGAAAGAUCAAAGCAGCAAUGCGCUAGGAGAUGGGCUCGCGGCCUAUUAGUUAGUUGGUGAGGUAACGGCUCACCAAGGCGAUGACGGGUGGCCGGUCUGAGAGGAUGUCCGGCCACACUGGAACUGAGACACGGUCCAGACACCUACGGGUGGCAGCAGUCGAGAAUCAUUCACAAUGGGGGCAACCCUGAUGGUGCGACGCCGCGUGGGGGAAUGAAGGUCUUCGGAUUGUAAACCCCUGUCAUGUGGGAGCAAAUUAAAAAGAUAGUACCACAAGAGGAAGAGACGGCUAACUCUGUGCCAGCAGCCGCGGUAAUACAGAGGUCUCAAGCGUUGUUCGGAAUCACUGGGCGUAAAGCGUGCGUAGGCUGUUUCGUAAGUCGUGUGUGAAAGGCAGGGGCUCAACCCCUGGAUUGCACAUGAUACUGCGAGACUAGAGUAAUGGAGGGGGAACCGGAAUUCUCGGUGUAGCAGUGAAAUGCGUAGAUAUCGAGAGGAACACUCGUGGCGAAGGCGGGUUCCUGGACAUUAACUGACGCUGAGGCACGAAGGCCAGGGGAGCGAAAGGGAUUAGAUACCCCUGUAGUCCUGGCAGUAAACGGUGCACGCUUGGUGUGCGGGGAAUCGACCCCCUGCGUGCCGGAGCUAACGCGUUAAGCGUGCCGCCUGGGGAGUACGGUCGCAAGAUUAAAACUCAAAGAAAUUGACGGGGACCCGCACAAGCGGUGGAGUAUGUGGCUUAAUUCGAUGCAACGCGAAGAACCUUACCUGGGCUUGACAUGUAAUGAACAACAUGUGAAAGCAUGCGACUCUUCGGAGGCGUUACACAGGUGCUGCAUGGCCGUCGUCAGCUCGUGUCGUGAGAUGUUUGGUUAAGUCCAGCAACGAGCGCAACCCCUGUUGCCAGUUACCAGCACGUCAAGGUGGGGACUCUGGCGAGACUGCCCAGAUCAACUGGGAGGAAGGUGGGGACGACGUCAGGUCAGUAUGGCCCUUAUGCCCAGGGCUGCACACGUACUACAAUGCCCAGUACAGAGGGGGCCGAAGCCGCGAGGCGGAGGAAAUCCUGAAAACUGGGCCCAGUUCGGACUGUAGGCUGCAACCCGCCUACACGAAGCCGGAAUCGCUAGUAAUGGCGCAUCAGCUACGGCGCCGUGAAUACGUUCCCGGGUCUUGUACACACCGCCCGUCACAUCAUGGAAGCCGGUCGCACCCGAAGUAUCUGAAGCCAACCGCAAGGAGGCAGGGUCCUAAGGUGAGACUGGUAACUGGGAUG